CUUGGUGUUACUGCGAAGGGGGGACGGAGAAGGCUAUGUUAGCCGGGCGACGGUUGUCCCGGUUUAAGCAUGUAGGCUGAUUAUCCAGGCAAAUCCGGAUAAUCAAGGCUGAGGUGUGAUGACGAGGCACUACGGUGCUGAAGUAACAAAUGCCCUGCUUCCAGGAAAAGCCUCUAAGCAUCAGGUAACAUCAAAUCGUACCCCAAACCGACACAGGUGGUCAGGUAGAGAAUACCAAGGCGCUUGAGAGAACUCGGGUGAAGG
rnacentral:rRNA from 1 species